rnacentral:misc_RNA from 1 species
CGAAUCGCAAUGCUCGUAUAGUAGUAACAGUAAUAUGCAUAUCUGGAUGCCUGUUGCUUCAUUAAGGUUUCUGCACGCUGGCGUCUUCUCUUACCUCUACAUACCAGGAGCAAUUUCCGAUUUGGAAGGGAAUGUAAAUACAACGAGAGAGACAUACAUACAGUGUCGACCGGGCUGCCGGGAAAGAAGACACUGGUGAUCACACAUGACCACGGUGUACCAUCCCGACGACGCCCAGCUAUCUGAUACUGGUUAGUUCAUGUAGUCUUCAAGAGAAAAUCAAAAACUUACGUCUGUUACUUUGCAGACGAUAAGGAAAGUCAUACCCGAGAAAUUUGCAUUCCGCUCAUCUGAUUUUCAUGUUCUUGGAGUGAGACCUGUCGCCGUUGUUUUGUCCACCCCGGAGCAGUGAAGCUCGGUUGGUUGUUUAACGUGCAAAGGAUUUAAUAUCGGGCAAGGAUAAGAACAAGAAUCACUUGUCAAAAGGAUAAGAAGAAAGUAUACCACUCUUUAACAAAAUCAUCAAACAAACAGCAAACAUCAUGGGUGUAGCGCUAUACCUUGAUAAAGCCAAGACUGGUUUUGGUAGUUGGUGGCAAUCGUUCUCCUUGGCAGAAUGCAUCCGGGACCUCCGAGCAUCCAGGAAACUAGUCUUGUUCAUUGUUUUCGUCGCACUCCUCUUAGAUAACAUGUUGACCACUGUAGUCGUGCCAAUUAUUCCUGACUUCAUCUUCCACCAAGAGAAUCCAGGUUUAGAACGCCAUCCUAAUCACUCGAUACCUAUCAAUUGUAGCCUAAUCACAACCCCAAACCCAAGGGAAAUAUCACGCGCCAACACGACGUCGGCUCCAGUCGUUUGUUUGAAUAGUUCAAGUGUGGUUGCCAAUACCACAGCCGCGUCGAUAGAAAACCAGUACGACGAGAUACUUAGACACGAGAGUGUCCGUAUAGGACUGUUAUUUGCGUCUAAGUCCAUAGUUCAGCUGAUAACCAAUCCCUUGAUAGGCCCUCUAACUAACAGGAUAGGGUACUCUCUGCCUAUGUUUACUGGAUUUCUAAUCAUGUUUGCUUCAACGUUAGUGUUUGCAUUUGGUGAGAGUUUUGCCCUCCUCCUAGUGGCCCGUAUGAUCCAAGGUAUAGGAUCAUCGUGUUCGUCUGUAGCAGGGAUGGGUAUGCUGGCCCAGCGCUUUCCCGACGAUGCUGAGCGGGGAGCCGCUAUGGGGUUUGCUCUAGCAGGACUCGCUCUCGGGGUUCUAAUUGGACCCCCUUUUGGAGGAGUGAUGUACGAGUUUGUAGGCAAAGCUUCUCCGUUUCUUAUCCUCGCUAUUCUAGCAUUGUUUGAUGGUCUUCUUCAGUUGUUGCUGCUAAACCCUGUUUGGACCAAAGAAGAUCACAUGGAAGGAACUCCUAUUCUUAAACUUCUAAAGGAUCCAUACGUUCUUAUUGCUGCAGGUUGUAUAACAUUUGGUAACAUGGGAAUAGCAUUGCUGGAGCCAUCGCUUCCGCUUUAUAUGUUGGAUAAAAUGGAAGCAGAAAAAUGGCAACUUGGUGCUAUAUUCCUUCCCGCCAGUGUAUCAUAUCUCAUCAGUACUAACAUCUUUGGAGCAUUAGGGCAUAGAAUAGGAAGAUGGCUAGUUUCCCUACUAGGUAUGAUCAUUGGAGGUAUCGCAAUGAUGUUGAUCCCGUUGUCACAAAGAGUCCCCCAUUUAAUAGGCCCCAAUUUCUUCGUCGGCUUUGGUGUAGGCAUGGUAGAUGCAUCGAUGAUGCCCAUCAUGGGUCAUCUGGUAGACAUACGUCAUGUAUCAGUAUAUGGUAGUGUCUACGCCAUAGCCGACGUAGCAUUUUGUCUGGGGUUUGCUGUCGGUCCUUCAUUGAGUGGAUCGAUUGUUGAAUCUAUCGGAUUCCCAUGGCUAGUAAGAAUAGUCGCCAUUAUAGAUUUCCUCUACGCACCCCUCCUAAUAUUUCUCAGAAACCCACCAGCCAACGAAGAAAAUGAGCCUUGUACACGUUGUAGCAGCGAAGAAAUUUGACCAGGCAGAAGUUUUGAAAUUAAGAUUGAGGAUUGAAAAUUAAAGAUUUGCAGCUGGCCUAAGGGUAUACUGUUGCAAGAGCAGAUUCCUGUGUCCUACACAGCCGACCAACAACGGGACUAUCAGACGAUGGACGGACGAUACGGACGA